CGUGGACGCCAGUCUGCGUGGAGCCAACCUUGAAAUACCACCCUUUAAUGUUUGAUGUUCUAACGUUGGCCCCUUACCGGGGUUGCGGACAGUGUCUGGUGGGUAGUUUGACUGGGGCGGUCUCCUCCCAAAGCGUAACGGAGGAGCACGAAGGUUAGCUAAUCCUGGUCGGACAUCAGGAGGUUAGUGCAAUGGCAUAAGCUAGCUUGACUGCGAGCGUGACGGCGCGAGCAGGUGCGAAAGCAGGUCAUAGUGAUCCGGUGGUUCUGAAUGGAAGGGCCAUCGCUCAACGGAUAAAAGGUACUCCGGGGAUAACAGGCUGAUACCGCCCAAGAGUUCAUAUCGACGGCGGUGUUUGGCACCUCGAUGUCGGCUCAUCACAUCCUGGGGCUGAAGUAGGUCCCAAGGGUAUGGCUGUUCGCCAUUUAAAGUGGUACGCGAGCUGGGUUUAGAACGUCGUGAGACAGUUCGGUCCCUAUCUGCCGUGGGCGCUGGAGAAUUGAGGGGGGCUGCUCCUAGUACGAGAGGACCGGAGUGGACGCAUCACUGGUGUUCGGGUUGUCAUGCCAAUGGCACUGCCCGGUAGCUAAAUGCGGAAGAGAUAAGUGCUGAAAGCAUCUAAGCACGAAACUUGCCCCGAGAUGAGUUCUCCCUGAGACUU
rnacentral:rRNA from 1 species